UGGUAGGCACAUGCCUUACUGGCACUCAAC
rnacentral:piRNA from 1 species